rnacentral:miRNA from 1 species
ACUGGUUUGCAGUCUAGUGCAU